UCUUUGUGGACGGAUUCUCUUGUAGGUCCUAAAAACGUGUAUGCCAUUCAUAAAUCUUCUUUGACUUGAGGUUGUAAAUAUUUAACUGAGGCUCAUAAAUAUGCCCCUUAAGUUCUUUUCCUUUCAAUGUUCUGAUUCUUCUCUAUUUUUCCUAUUUCCCCUAACCCUUCAAAACCCAUAACUUACAUGGAAUUUGCAUAUAUACACAUGCUUUGUAGAUGUAUCUCUUUAUUGUAAGGAGUGCUGAAUCGGAGUCAGGAGGCCUUGAUUCAAAUCAUUGCCACUAACUACAUUUGUCACAGGUCAGGUUGAUUCCUGCCUACGGGGAGUUGCCAAGGAGUGGGGGCUGUGUUCUUCGUGAAAUGCCUACACACUGCCCAAGAAAUCUGGGUUUCCUUUCCAUAGUGUGCCUUCUACAUGCAGCAUUCCAUGACCAAGUGGUGUAACUUGUCUCUCAUCACCCCUUAUUCCUAAAUCUUCUUUCUCAUUUUCCUUCUUUCUUCCUUUUCUCUUGUUAUACUGGAGGGAUUAUCUAGUGGUGGAGCUGGAAUGAUGGAUAUGCCAGGGCAGCUGAAAUGUUAACGCAUUAGGAAUUUCCCAGAUCGUGGGCCAUUCAUUCAAUCAUUACACUUUCAUUAAGCACCUACAGUUUGCCAGGCACUAUGAUAAGUAUGAUUGUUCACCUAAUUUUAACUGUGCUCUUUACCUUAGUGCAUAAACAACAUAGAUCUGUUGUACUCUUUUCUGAAAACACACACACGCAUACAAAGAGAAGAAAUAAUAUAUAGUCCCACUUUCUACAGUUUUACCACUACUGAUAGUUGGAUGUGUAUUUUUGAAGGGUUUUGACUAUAUAAGUAUAUACAUAAAAAAGAAAAAAUAUGAAAAUAUAUUUAUCAUACAUCUUAUUUUAUUAUAAUAUAUAUAUAUAUUAACCUGAUUUUUCACAUAAAUAAUCCAUUUACCUCAUUUUACUUUCUCCUCACUGUUGGCUGACUGGGUUAGAAGAAGUGAUCUUUCACACAGGUGAUAUACAUUCACUGUAGGAUGUACAUAUUAGAAAAACAUUGCUGGAAUCUAAUCCCAUGAACUAGAGGUUCAAAUUCCAUGUUAAGCCAAAAGAACAUGAAGAUGCAAAUGAUGUCCAAAAAAAGUCCUUAUUUUGAGUGAUUUCCUGGAAACUCCCUGGCCUAGUCAGAAUCUGUUUUAUGAAUAAGACGAAAAUUAUAAGACCAAGCAGAUUCCAGAGCGAAAUAUCCAUGUCAAAGUGGUGUUGGCCUAAGAAGACCGUGCAAACCCUUGGGCCUUUAACUAACAAAUCAGUGUUUCGGGUGCAAAAUAUAGAUCUGAAAAAUGUCUGAAAUGCUUUCCUAAAUACGACAGGAGGUAGCCUCAUACUGAAGACUCUCAUCCAACCAGAAUCUAGUGCAUUCUGUUAUUACUUGUAAUUGCAGACAAUGUGCCUAGUGCCAUGUGAAUUACUUUACCUACGUCAUUUGAUUUUAAAAGGGCUGUCCAGUAGAAACUUUUUGCCCUCAUUUCAAUGUAGAGGAAAGUCCAGAACCUAAAGAGGAGGGGAUUUCUCCCAAACCACACAGCUGGAAAACGAAGACUGUGAUGCCAUCCCCUCUCUGACACCCUUAUGAUGUAAUAUCCUGAAGACUGCAAGGCUCUAGUGCAGGAAGCAAGCAACCUCACAGGGUUGAACAUCAUCUAGCGCUAUGAUGACUCUCCGGAAGCCCAGGGGUGUCUGGGACAUGGUGUCAUUCGCUCUAAUGAGACUUGCUGGAACACCUACAGGGGACAAGACAUCUUUAUGUGUUGGCCAUCGUGGAGAAUUUCUGAGAACUGGACACCAGGACGAUGGGGGCUGCUUCUCCCAAUUUAUUUAUUUUUUCUCCAAGAGCUGGUGGGAAAAUUUAUCUCCGGGUAUUACUCAAUCUGUAUUCUGACCCCUCAUAUUCACUCAACUAAUAGCAGCUUAAGGAAUCAUCUUUUCCAGGGAUCAAAAUGUUACAGUAAGAAUAGCUAGCUUUUUUUGACUACUAUUUCCCAAGAACUCUGUUAAGAAUUUUACAUGCAUUUUCACAUUUAACUCUACAAGGAAGAUCCUUUUUUUUUUUUUUUUUUUUUUUUUUUUUUUUUUUUACUUUAAGAUAAAUGAGGCAAGGAGAGCCUAAAUAACUUGCCCAAGAUCACAAAGCUACUGAGUUCUAGAGCUAAGAAAUGCACACAGCUCUGUCUGCUGUCUGAUAGAUUGCCAGAAGGAUUAAAUAAGUUAAUGCAUGGAAAGCGCUUGCCCAAGUAUGUGAUACGGAGAAGGCACUCACUAAAUGUUGGCUAUUAUUAUUGCAUACUCUGUCACCCUCCUUUUUUGGACAAUGGGAUGUGACAGAGAGGACAGUUAAUGAUGCAAGCCUGCUGGUGCCCUCCAGUACCCACUGACUGAUUCCUUUGCCUGCCACUCACCCUACUGGGCACCAACCUAGGGCUCUAAGGGAAGCCAUGACUUAUUCCAGCCAAUGGGAAUUAGCUGUCACUUGACUUAACAUUUUGUAACAGGGCUGGACCCAGGCCAAUUAGGACUCCUGGGGGUCAUGUGUCAUCAGGUCGUAACUCUUGAAGAUCUUUUCUUUCCUAAGGACCUGGAUUCAGCAGCCCCUGGGAAAUAACCCAAAUGCAUUGCAACUGUUGUGUGCUAUAUAAAAACAUGUUGGAGAUGGAGUUGGUCCAGGAGGGAUAAGGAGAAAGAACGCAAUGUGGUUGGGGACCGCAGGACCAAGGAUCUUGGCUUAGCAAAUCAAUUAAUGAACCUUGUCUCUUGAGAAAUGCUAACCUUUGUGACAUUGGCAUUCAUGGGACCUUGGUAUGGCCCUGCCAUGGCCCAGGGAUUCGGGGUCAGACAGUUUAGAGACUUUUAUAAGUAGGAUUUAAUUCAGUUUGUAAAACUAGCCUAUGGGGUGUCUGUUAUUUCAUAAAUGAGGAAACUGAGGCUCGUGGUGUCCAUUUUGAGAUGGUUUGAGCCUACUUUCCCCCUCUUCUCUCUCCAAGAUGGGAGGUGUCUGAUAACCAUUUCUAGUCUUUUGUGUCCAAACAGAACCUUUGAUUUCUGUUCCCAAAACCUCCCGAAGCUUGUUCUUCACCCAACCUCCAUGUUUCAUUGACGGACACUCUUAUGUAUCCAGUUCCUUAAGCCAAAACCUAGGGAUCUUCCUGGAUUUCACACAUCCCCUUGGGCCCCACAGCUCCUCUUCAUGGAGACCUCUUACCUCGAUCUUGGAAACAUUUUCCACAUCCUUGUGCUUUGCUCCAAAUCAUCCGCCUUGACCACUCUAUUACCUUCCCGACUGGUUUUCAUCUUCCUUUGUCCCCCUCCAAUCUCCUCUCUGCAAAGUUACCAAGUAGAUAUUUUCCCCAGUAAAAAUCCGCUCCUUCUCUAACCUGCUUAACAUCCUCAUAUACGACGCUUGAAGUAAAAUCUGUAUUCCUUGCACCAAGCCUGUGGCAUUCCUCCAGAUCUGGUCCCUGAGUCCAUUCUGGAUAUCCUCUCCUAACUUCAAGCCACACUGGGUUCUUCAUGUUUCUCUAACGCCCCAACUUUUCAUCAUUGAUGGGGGUUUUGCUCUAGCUAGUCUCCCCUCCCCCCCCCCCCCCCCCCCCCGACUGGCUCCCUUUGGCCUCAGAUCUUUACACUGGGGCUCCUUCUUAGGGUUCCUUCUCAACCCAAGCACAGCUUUCUCAUGGCUAACCCUGUCCACCCCACUUAGGGUAAAUCCUCCCCCUGAAUCCCUCUCUUUCAUGUCACUCUGCUUCUAUUUGCCCAAGUGUGUGUCUCUGUCUGGUAUUACCUUAUUGAUUUGGUUUUGUGUUUAUUGCCCAUCUCUUCCAACUAGAAAGAAUGUGGAAUCCACGGAGCAAGAAUUGUGGCUCUUGGUAUUCACUGCCAUGUCUACAUUGCUGAGCCAAUGGAGUGUUUGUUGGUUGAAUAAAUGACUACCAUUCUAAGGCUGUGAUGGUUGUUUUGGGUCAGAACUAAUUCUAGAGGGGUUGCAUGAGGAAGAGAAUUCAAAUCGGUGUAUACAUGUGGCCCCAAAUAUUGUUCCAAAUCCAAGUAGCAUUUACAAAUGUUUUUAUUACUUUGGGUGAAUUUUGGAAGAAACCAAAAUAAAAAGACAGAAGCUGUUUUCCCUCCGUGUUUCGAUCUCGGUCUUGUAAACCUUGGUCCACAUUACAAAAACAAAACACAACUUGAAAACAAGACCUUCUAAACAAG